AACGAACGCUGGCGGCAUGCCUAACACAUGCAAGUCGAACGAGACCUUCGGGUCUAGUGGCGCACGGGUGCGUAACGCGUGGGAAUCUGCCCUUGGGUUCGGAAUAACAGUUGGAAACGACUACUAAUACCGGAUGAUGACGUAAGUCCAAAGAUUUAUCGCCCAAGGAUGAGCCCGCGUAGGAUUAGCUAGUUGGUGAGGUAAAGGCUCACCAAGGCGACGAUCCUUAGCUGGUCUGAGAGGAUGAUCAGCCACACUGGGACUGAGACACGGCCCAGACUCCUACGGGAGGCAGCAGUGGGGAAUAUUGGACAAUGGGCGAAAGCCUGAUCCAGCAAUGCCGCGUGAGUGAUUAAGGCCUUAGGGUUGUAAAGCUCUUUUACCCGGGAUGAUAAUGACAGUACCGGGAGAAUAAGCUCCGGCUAACUCCGUG
rnacentral:rRNA from 1 species